rnacentral:rRNA from 1 species
AACGCACCUUGCGCUCCCUGGUAUUCCGGGGAGCAUGCCUGUUUGAGUGUCGUGAAAUCAUCAUGGUCAUGAUCUUUAAUUAAUCAUGGCUUGGUUUUGGAGGUUAUGUUGGCUUUUUAUUAAGUUGACUCCUCUUAAAUACAUUAGCUCAGUGUUUAAUGCUUAGAGCGGUUCACGGUGUGAUAAUUAUCUAUCGUCAAGGACACUCUUUCACGAGGGUGGCCAGACUCUCCUUGGACUGCUUCUAAUCGUCUUUGGACAAUUAUUCAUGGAUCUGACCUCGAAUCAGGCGGGACUACCCGCUGAACUUAA